CUCCAUGUGUCUUUGGGACCUGCCGGCUGUGGCAGUCUUCCUUCCUAGCCAUGGAAGAGCAUUUUCUUUUUUUUUUUUUUUUUUUAUCCUCACCCGAGGACAUUU